rnacentral:misc_RNA from 1 species
GUGAACCCUACGCGACUACUCUCUCUCUCUCUCUGUGGAAACUUAUUCGCUAAGGAUCACGUGGUCAAAAUAUUCCCAUUUCACUUCUCUCUCUCUCCCUCUCUCUCCCCUCCCCACCCCAACCCAUGAGCUGAAGCUUAGUAUCUUGUAGGCUUGUAGUUGUUGUGAUAUUCGUUAAUUUUCUUAAAUUCUCGUUUGCUCCAAUUUGGCCUCUUUCAGUUCUUCAACACAAUGAGUUUUUUGAGACCGUCUGUAUUGUAUCAGUUCCUUCUAACUUCCAUUACUCUAAAAUGGAUGCCCUGCCAGAGCUGGGGUUUUCUUCGAUGGCCUGGUUUUGAUGGCUUCUUGAGGCUUCUGGUUUUGCUGCUUUUAUGGUCUAUGUGUUCCGAGAUUCGCUUCAUUCCAUCCUCUUCCAUGUACCCCACUCUUCGCGUUGGUGAUCGGGUCCUUGUUGAGAAGGUAAAGAUUCUUUCCACAUUUAGUCCUUGUUUGAUGCCAUCUAGUUUGGUAAUUGAUUCAUCUAGAUUCUGGGUGGGUAUCGAAUCGUUGUCAAGAUCAGAGUUUCAGAAAUUGCAUUUGGUAUCUUCAGACCCUGUAGCCUAAUUAUUUAAAGAACUGCUUUUACAUUUUUCAUUUUCCGUAUUUUUACUUUCUCAACUGAAUUGCUAGCUAGUCCUGUCUCUAUGGAAGUGCUCGUAUGUUUUUCCUUGAUCUCUAUAUAUUUUCUCAUAUGAUCAUCAUGAUUUUCUUUUCUUUCAUCAUGAUUUUCUUUUCUCUAUUAUGAUAAUUGGUUUGGAUUCUGUUAUUCGCCUCCUAUCAUGGUGAAUUUCACUUGGGAGGCUGAAAUCCGAGCAAGUAAUUUCUAAGUUCUGAAAGUUCCAAAGAGCAUUCUUCAGAAUGUGGAGGAUUUAAAUUUUAAAAACAAAUGAUAAAUGGCAAUCUUUACUAGAACUGUAGAAUCGCAGUCUUCAAGUUGGUGUUGUGCUUAGUCAGGCAGUAAAACGAGCUCUUAUCUGAAUUGAAAGUAAGAUUACAAGAGCCAAUCAGUUCCAUUCUAGUCAUAAGUGAUUUUGUAAAUUAGUUGUGCUAUAUUCUCCUAAUUAGAUAUGGCUUCUCUCUAUGACAUGCUGGGGAUGUCUUUGGUAGCCCUUAUAUCAAAGGAGAAAUUUAUCCCUCAUUAUUAAACGCCUGAGAGAGGUAGCAUUAACUUGCCAAGUGAUCAGACAAAAUCUGUUGUUCUUUUGGUCUAAAAGCAUUUUAGUUAAUGAUUACCAACGACUUUCUUGGUCCUUGUCAUGAUUGAACUCUUCUAUAUGUCUAGUUGUUUGAGGCCCUUGUUCUUGACUGGAACUUGGCAAUCUAAUCCUCUUUCUAUGUGUAUAUCUUUUCUCUGCACUUCAAUUACACUAAUCACAUAAUAUUUAUGUCAGAUGGUCAACAUUCAGGACAGAAUUUUAAAAUGUUUGCAUAACUUCCCAUUUUGUUUAUGAUAAUCAGAUGAUGAAUUUAUUCUGUUGAAGCAUGCUAGCAAUUGAGAAGAAAAUUAUGGGACAAGAAAAAACCUUGCAAAUUCUGCAAAGCAACAUUGUUAAAUCUUCUUAGAAAAAUACGAAAACUCUGAUCUAUUUCUUGCAUAAGCUAAAAGGGUGAUUUCAUUUACAUCACUUCUGUCAAUGACAUUAGCUUUGAAUUUUAAAUAAUAUUUCUUAACUUCUCAGGCUUCAUACUACAUCCGAUCUCCUGCUAUAAAUGAUAUUGUCAUAUUCCGAGCUCCAAAACAGCCUGGAACCAAUGAGGAAGUUGUUUUCAUUAAGAGAAUUGUUGCAAAAGCUGGAGAUUAUGUUCAGGUUCAUCGUGGAUCACUGUAUGUCAAUGGAAAAGCUCAGACUGAAGACUUCAUAGCAGCACGACCAACAUACACAACAGAGUUAAUUGUGUGCUUCCUCUUUUACCUCUUUACACUUCUAUAUUGCUGCAUUCUUUCAAAGCAUUUUUCCAAACAACCAAAAAGUGUUCUUGAACAACAUUACAAGGCUGUAAGCUGAGCAAAUGGCUUACAAAAUAGCACUGUAUAUAUCUUUUCAUUCAAUGAGGUAUGCAAAUGUGAUUGUGGAGCGGCCCAUUGGAAUCUACAUUGUUGACAAUUAAAAGCCCUAUGUUACCCAAUCAUUUGGAUUUGUUUAAUCAUGAGCCAUGGAUGGUACACCAUAGGCUUGAUCUACCUGUUAUUAAUAUGUGUUAGUUUCUCUUGGAACUAUGGCCCAUCAUUUUUGCUUCGUAUUAACAUGACCUUUUACUGGGUUUGCAGUAUGUGCCUAAAGAUCAUAUUUAUGUCUUGGGAGACAACCGCAAUAACAGCUACGAUUCGCAUGACUGGGGACCCCUUCCUGUAAAGAACAUCAUCGGAAGAUUUGUCACGUGUUGGCACAGGCCUUCAAGAAGCUGACCCCAUGAUCAUAUGGGUUAGAUACACCGGAAAUCUCCCACGUCUUGAUAGAUAUCAUCGCCAUAUUUCUGUGUCCCCAGCAUAAUUAGUCAUUGAUUGAUUGUUUCUUUGUUUAGUCAUUCGUUGGUGCCAAUAUGCAUGCUUGUAAAUUGUGAGUUGAGUUGCAGAGAAUAGAAUAUGAUUCUUGGGAAUGGAGAUCGCAUAUUGUUGGUAAUGUUUAGAUAUUAUUGGAUCAUGCUUGGAUUUAAACUAUGGUUAGAAUGUAAGUUAAGAAGUCUCUAGCUGCUAUUAACUUGAUCAACAAGCAAAUAGGUGGUGCUAGUUUAGUUCGUAAAGUUCACUUCAGAUUGGAUUUUGUUCAUUUGAACGAGGGGAAAGCUUUACUAAGUGAUGGCAAUAAAAUUUGUUCUCUGCUGGCAUCCAUCCUAAACGGGCGGAGAAUCCCUUUUCCAGAUUGGAUCCUUGCUAGUCUCGCCCGCGGCCUGGAUAGGCCUUCUUGCAAGGAAAGAUCCUAACAAGGUUUUCUGGCCUAGUUGUCUUGUACCCCUACGUACUACAUAUUUGAAAAAUAAAAAUAAAUCCUAUGCGAUCGGUUAAUGCAAAUUAUUUUUUAUCUAUUUUGUAGAUCAUAAAUUUUUG